CACCUGUUCCCAUACCGAACACAGAAGUAAAGUCUUCCAGCGCCGAAAGUACUUGGUGGGUAACUGCCUGGGAGGAUAGGACAUUGCGGGAC
rnacentral:rRNA from 1 species